UGUAUGAAGACAAGCUCUUGGAGGGGAAGGUUUACUUCAUUGCUAAUUUUUCUGUUGUUAGAAACACUAAGGGGUACAGGCCCACUAAUCAUUCAUUCAAGAUUACUAUGGGUUAUCGGACCUAUGUCAAGGAAAGAGAAGCUGAUAUCCCUGAAUAUUCAUACAAUUUCUUACCUAUUUCUGAGAUUAUUGAGCUCACCCGACAGAAUAACAUUGAUUAUCUGAUUGAUGUUAUUGGAUUUGUCACCACCGUUGGAUCUCUUGAAGAGUGCCAUUUCAAUUCUGAGACAAACAAUAGGAUACGCUUGACUUUAUCUGAUAACCUGGAAAAUUCUGUUUCUUGUGUUUUGUAUGAUGAGUGUGCAACAAAUGUGUGCAUGACUGAUUUUACUAAGAUGGACGCCCCAGUGGUCAUUCUCAUUCAGCUUGCAAGGAUUGGUUUUGAUGAGAAAGGGAAGGUAGAGAUUUGUAGUGCUUUCCAUGCAACUAAGAUAUCAUUUAAUAUGAAUUAUCCAGAGGUUAGGCAAUUUAUUGAAAGUGCAAAGACAUUUCCCUCUCCAACAAUCAGUACGAUAUCUGCAAGUGUUGCAUCUCAAACUUCCAAUCCUUUUGAAAGCACUCUUCUUAGUAGUCACCCUUUAAUUCCCAUUGCUGAUAUACCAAAACAGAGUGUGGAUGAUUUUUUCCUGAUUAAGUGUAAGGUUAUCAAGCUAGAGACUACUCAUGAUUGGAAAUAUGAGGCAUGUACAAGGUGCGGCUGUAAGCCAAAGGAAGAGGCUGGGAAGAAGACAUGUUUGAGCUCAGUGUGUAGGAAGAGGCCAUUGUAUUUCGAGUGGAAGAUGAGGGUGCAUUAUACAGUGGAAGAUGAGUCAGGAAGAGUUGUUGUUGCGUUCUUUGACAAGCUGGUUAGAGAAUUUGUUGGUAAAACUCUUGCACAAUUGGAAGAGGAGCUUAUCAAGAAGGAGCGUCACUAUGAUUUUCCUGAAGACCUGGACAUUCUUGUUGUGUUUACACAUGGGCAACUAUAUGUGGCUCUUUCUAGAGUGAAAUCAAUUGAAGGAUUGAAGAUUCUAUUGCACGAUGGUGAAAGUGGAAGGAGUAGGACUACUUCCAAUGUCGUUUACAGAGAAGUGUUUCAAAAUCUUGUGGACUGUAGUGAUGGAGUUAUAUUGUAAUCUUUCCUCUCUUAAUCUCAGCAAGUGCAAUGCAAGUGUGAUUGUGAAAGUAGACCAGAAGUAUAUCAGGAAGAAGGUGUGGUAUACUUUGGAAAAUCGUCAUCCUGUUUUUGAAGUGGAAUCUAUGGACAUAUUCUUUUUUGAUGCUUAGUCAUGUAAUCUUGCAAUUAAUGACCAAUGAUCACAUUGAUCGAUUUGCAUCGAAGUUCGUUGAAGGUGGUGUGCACCAAAUUUCUGGUAUGUUCAUGUUGGUGGUCUUAGUCUGCAUGACAGAUAGUAUAUAUGUUUUGUCGCUUCAACCGAGGUUAUAGAGAGAAUAGAUGAGUUUCCCUGUUAUUCAUUUAACUUGAAAAAUGUUUUUGACAUUUGCUAUGGAAUAUUUGAAGAAUUUUUUUUAUGGUAAGAUUUUGUGAUGAUUUUUUAUUUCUAACCGUUGAAGCCCUGAAGGAAAAUCUGAUUUCUGAAAAAGUUUUGGGUGAUAAAGAUAUUUAUGGACUUUUGAAAUAUUGGAGUUUUGUUAGUCCUAUAAAGCUUAUUGGAGUAUACAGGGAGGAAUUGGAGAUCGUAAGACAUGAGAUGGUCACGUUAGAAGGAUGGUACUAUGGUUUUGAUCUUCCGAAGGAGUUGACUAUUAAGCUUCAUGAUGAGUGUGCUGCGAUUACUCUUGCCAAGAUAGAAGCCAGGGGGUGAAAGCUGAAGAUUUUCUGAUUAUAUAAUAUGCUAUUGGCAUGCUUCAUAAGAACGAUGGUGGACCCGUGCUUAGCUCAUUUUCAGGUGCCAUAAGAGUGUUAUUUGAUGA